GUUUUUGGUUACACUUUUUAUGUAAGCUUUAGUGCUAAGCGCCAAUAAUUUCCCUUGUCUACUUAAGAAUUUCACUUGAGUUAAUCCGUAGCCAUUGCUGUCAUUUUUUCAUGGUAACCAAAUUUUAUUAGUUUGGUUAGUUCAGCAACUCAUGCAUAAUUAGCAGAGUAAUGCAGCAACCGGCGUAUUGCCUCUGGCUUUUGGACUGAUAACAUUUCUCCCUCUCCCGUUAAUUAUUUACAUGAAAAGCCACUGGAUUUUUUUUUCUUUUUGUCAUUUCACCUUUUUUUCCAUCACAAGCGAAUGGCUUGAUAUUGAAACAAUCACCAAAUGUCUCGUCUCUAUCUUAACCACCUUUAAACAGUCGAUGAUUCCAACCGAAUCCUGGAAAAGACUCGUUUAUAUCAAGGAUAAAACGGAUGAGUCAUGGGUCCUUGCCCACUAUGUGUGUCCCCAUACGUUGAGGCAGAGAAGCUUAGAGAGUUAAUUUCAUAAGCAAGCGCGGCCACUGCCAAACACAAUGCUUAAUCUUUACAAGUAAUCAAAUAUGACUAUCAGGCAAGGAAAACACAUGGUGGUUUUCCAGAGACCUGAGCAAAUCCCUUCAUUAAGCUUUGAGGGUUUUGUAUUGGCUAAAACUUGAAAGUUGAAUCUACACUUUUUUUUUUUUAAUGAUUUAUCUCUUCUCCAUUGGCUUGGUGUAGUCAAAGUGAAAGGAAGAUGUGCAUUGGUGUAGGCAAAGUGAAAGGAAGAUAUGUAUUAUAAAGUUUACAUGGCUUUUACAGUGAACUUUCCAUGGUGAACUUGCAAUACGUACAUGGCUUUACAGUCUUACAUAUAUACCUUUCAUGUGCAGGAAACCAGCAACUAGGCACCAAAAUAAGAUUUCCACAAUUACAAAAGCUAGGGUUCCCCACUUCUUUGAAUGGAGUAUGGCCUGCAUCAGCGAUUCUAUGCCAUCAAUCAAGUUGUUUUCAGGUGAAUGCCAAUAGAAACCUUGAAGGGCUGCUGGGAAAAGUUCACAGGCAGCCAAAGCAUAAAUAAUGAGAGCGUUCAUCCCCAUCCACUGAAAUAUCACCAUGGGCUUUUUGAAAUGCUUGACAUCAACCUGCAACACAUAUGGUUGGGAUGAAAGACAACCUGUCUACCCUAGGUAUCCACAAUUUCAGUCCCCUAUUCUUUCAAAACAAUUCAGUAGGAAAGGAUAAUAGGCAACCUAAUUAGGAUCAUUUUUUCAUAAACAGAAAAACAUUCAACCGGAUAAUCAAACUGCUAUCAAGUUGCAGUUUUAACUACCCAGCCCAAAUUUUCCAACUCUCAUUCUUAGCGAGGAUUAUUUAUGCUUUAACCUUCUGUCCUUCCCUUCCUUAGGUCCAUUGUCUACCUUUCAGAAAUCCACACAACACAUGAAGGGGAGAGCCAGAGAGAGUAGAUGAUUAAUCACUUCUGGGUUUUCAGCACGUAAAGAAUCGGGCAUAGUUGACUUAUCAAUCAUGUAAAUCAUCAAACCCACUUAACCACUUGGCAUCUUGUUUCUUAUUGUUUUGUAAAUACUCUAAUUUGUAAGGUAGAAUUUGUUCUAUUAUUAAACUAGCACCAAAACUGGAGCGAUAACUCAUUACGCAACCUCAUAAAACAUCUCGUCCAAGGCAAAGUAAAAAUCUCUAAUAUUCAUAACCACUAAAAUGACUAUUUAGCAUUACAGUAGCAUCUCCUAAGCACGAUUGCAGAAAGUUUUCACACCACAAAAUUUACAUUGACCUCUACCUAGAAAGCCAUGAGCCCAUGACAGUUCCUCUGCUCUCCUCCAGAAAUCAAAUUUAGCAACUCCCAUAAAAAUUAAAGUGGAAAAAUAGUUCUAGCAAGUUACAACCAGAAAACUCAAGCCAACCUAUUUUUUAUAUAGUAAAUCAUUAAACAUAUCUAAAAAGAUUAAAGUUAAAAAAUAUUGAAAUUCCUUCACUGAUCACUAGGAAAUGAAUUUGCAUGAAUUUGAUCCAAAUAUUGGUAAAUGAGCUUAGCUAAAGCUUGAGCUUAGCUAAAGCUUGAGCUCAUUUAGUCUGUGAAUCAGAAUGAACUGCCUCUACUACGUUUAACCUAUUAAAUUAUAAAAUGGCCCAAGUUAAGUGGUUUCGACCAAUAUGAUCAUUGUCCGUCUUCAAACAGCUCACAACAAAUGAAUAUUAUCAGCCAAUUUAGUAUCAAGUUGCAUUUGUUUAUAAACUAGGAAUCUAGCAAGUUGAAAGAUGACCUCCAUAUAUAACCUUACGUGCAAACGUAUACAUAUACGUGUUUUUGCACACAUAUAUAUAAAGCUAAGAGUAGAACAAUAAACUUACUACAUAAAAAAUAAUGGUUAAAAGCAAGCCUGAUGCUCCUGCUGUGAUGCACAUAUAGCUCAAUGUAUAAAGUGGUUUAGAAAAGGGAAUGCAUGCAAUUACCAAGCAGUUUCAAAACAUAUCCAGUGAUCAGCAAAGAAAAAGAAGAUAUCGACCACAAAAACACCCUCUGCUUGUGGUCCUGCAGCAAAUGAGUAUAUAAUAUAUUAUCAGCCGAACUAAAUGGUUGGGUCAAGACUGAUCUAUAAGCAUGUCACGUGAUCAAAAAAUAAAAAAUAAUUAGCUUUUACAAGCAAACAUAUUCCUAACAAGAAGAGGUACCAUACCUUAAAAUGAACAAGUAUAUGCCCAAAAUGCAACCCCAAAAAACAUGUGACAACAGCCAUCAAGGAACUGAAAAUUUUUGUUCAGUGAAACAAUUUAUUAUUCAUAUUCAAUUACCUAGAAUGCCAACAAUAUCAAUUGAUACUAAGAAACUUUUUAGCUUGUCAGAAAUUGAAGUUAAUGACAUGCCACUUAAGCUAAUAAUUUCAUGCAAAUUUUUAUUGAGAAUUUUUUUGUGACCAACAGGCAUUCUUGAUUCACACAUUUUGAAUUUUUAUUACAUCAAUUUCCUUUUCUCUUUCCAUCAUCAUUGGAGGAUGUAAUGUAAUCCAUGAACUAUAUAUGCACAUGGUUCUCAUCCAUAAGUUUCAUUUUCAGGUUCCUUCUCAAUCACAGUAAAAAUUUAGUGACUAAGUUGAUACUGGUAAGUAAAUAGUGAAGAAGAGGACAAAGAUAAAACAAAGGCAAUGAAUACCUUAAGAUGCCCUCAGGAUCAAAUGGAGCAAGGCACCAAGCAGGUGAAUUUGGUGGCAAAGGUCCAUAGUCAGGAGAGUUAACACUACAUUGCUGUGAGAACCAUUAAGUUCAAGAUCCUUCACAAAGGAACAAAGCAAAUGUUUAAGCAUAACCCAGGAAAUUACCUUUGUUCUUCUGUACACUGGCCGCUGAUAUAGAUGAUGUUCACCAAGAAAGAAUCUAUCAACCAGGCCAACUGCAUUACAAGGAGGUUCAAGACUUCCCCUCAGUCCACAAAUCACAGUUUGAGUACCAGAUCCAUAACCAAAGAGAUUCAUUCUUGGAGCUUCAAAUUCCCAAUUUGGAAUAUAAAGGCCAUAUAACAAGCACAAAUACAAUGAACAGAGUAACAAAGAAAACAUCCUGCAAAAUAAAGCAAAAGUUUUACCUUAAAAAAUGUUAAAAAAAUUGAUAAGAAAGAUAUGGAUAUACAAAAUUAAAGAUAUUUUAUUUAUUCACUCUAUUAAAAUAAAAAAAAAAAUAUUUGUUUUGCUAUUGAUGUGAAAAAAAUGCCUCGCAUCCAUAAUGCAUUUAAGUUGGCAAAAAAAUAAACCCAGAAUGUAGGUACAUCAUCACAAUAUAUUUGAUGGUUACAAACACAUAAAGAAUGUAAAAGAAAAUGCAUUUCUAAUCCAAUUUCUUCUUCAUAAAAAAAUAAUGGCUAACACAUAAUAACAAUAACUUCCAGAAGGAAAGAGACAUUAAAGGUGAAGCAGUAAAAGGCUUUAUAAAAACAAAAUUACACAUAAUAGAAAACCACAACUUUGGUCUAAAUAUGAAGUAUGCCUUUCUGAGACUGUGCGGUCCUUAUUGUGAUACUCCAAUCCCAUAUCAAAAUAUUAUGUGAGGAAUGGUAUUGCGUAUAGGCACUUAGGCAGCUUACCACUAAGAACGUGAAAAUUAAGCUUUUGUCACAUGGACCAGCCUGCACUAUCCAUGUUAUGCUGGUCUUUGCCCAAGGUGUGACAUUGCAGAAGUUUGAUAUUUCCAUUACGUAGUUCUAUUCCAUUUAAUACUAAUAUUAAGUAGCCACAAACAAAGACAUGUAACUCACCAACUACAUUUGUUUGUAAGUGUGAGAUCUGUGAAAUUUAAUUAAGAGAGAAAAUAAUAUAAAUGAAUUCAAUUCCUAAUUUCACUUCCAAUUCAAAUCCGAUUCAAAAUAUUAUUCUUCCAAGUCCAACAUAUAAAGUGAUAUAUCAUAGUGUUUGGAACAAAUGAAUUCCAUGAAAUUCUGUCAAAUGCAUUUCUAGCUCCUCACCUAUCAUGCUUCGAACAAAAAAUUUCAAGGAAUUCAUUUGCAAUAUAUUUGGAACCCAAUAAUGUUGCAAUUCCACAAAUGUAAUCCCAUGGAAUUCAUUACAUUUCGAACAAAAUUUGAUCAAAAUUGAUAAAAUUUCAAAUGAAUUGUACGUUUGAAUUAUAAAAUACCCCUACAUAAACUCAUUAGGCAAUCUCUCCCAAGUCCCAACAUAAACUAUUGACAUUCUAGACUCUACCAUAUAUUGUAUUGAACAUGGGAAUUAAUUUGCAAAUGCCUUUUUUUAUCAAAUUCAUUUCAUCUUUGUAGAAUAAUUCAUCUUGCAAAUGAAUAUUCUAAUAGAAUUCAUUAACAAAUGAAAUGAAUUUCUUGUCCAUUUGAUUCCAAACAUAGCACAAAAUACAUAUUUUCCAAAUCCCAAUCAAGCUUGCCCCUCAAAUCCUGCAACACUGUCUGCUUGCAUGUGAAUAGCAAAAAUGUUACAGAAGGUACAAAUUCUAAGUGACAGAACUAACCACUGAACAUAGUAUUUCUUCACAAAAUCCAGAGGUGAGUCUACCAUGAUAUGGUCCACAAGCCAGAUCUCUGACAUUGAAGUGAAAAGAUAUCCAAUCGAUAUCCUCUGUAGUACACCCAGCCAACGUAUCUUGCCCACAUCAACCCCAUAUGUUAAAUGGUUACGCCCCUGGAAAUACCCACCUUGCAACAACAAACCCAGAAGAAAUAGUUUCAUUGUCCUCAAUAUGGCUUUCUUUGUUGCCAAUGGUUUGCUAGAUAUUUUCUGCAUGGUAUCAUGACUGAAGAUAAUAAAUUGGCUUGCUCCAAAGAAUCUAGAUAGUAUACAUAUACAAAUAGUUUUGACCCAACAAUGGUUUCAUCACAUAUCACUUCUUGCAUUUAUCACUCUCCACUGCUAAAUUGACCAAAAUAAUGGCAUGAAAGACUCUUCAAUCUUAAACACCCUUACUGAAUUAAAUUAAAUGCCUAUAUCAAAGGAAACAAGAGGUAGAACUAAAGUUUAUAAAAGGAUGGCUAGGUUUAACAUACAAAAUGAAUGGACAAGACCAGACAGUUUUGGUGGUUUGAUUGUCAACUACUAAAUGUUGUCUCCUUUUAUUGUUUGUACAAAUAAAGCUUUAACACAGAAAUGCCACUCUCAUGCCAAAAAGGAAAAUUAACAAGAACAAUUUCAGUAGCCAAGGACUGCAAAAUAUACAUAUAUAUUUAUAUGAAAUAGCACUAGUAAGUUAACCAGCACAUGUGAAGCAUGCUCACCUACAGACUUCAUAAACAUAAUUGAACCGCAAGUUUAAUCUCAAACUUAAGAAAUUUCCUUACCUUAAAUACCAAACCGAUAGAAA
rnacentral:misc_RNA from 1 species